UACGAAGGGGGCUAGCGUUGCUCGGAAUCACUGGGCGUAAAGCGCACGUAGGCGGAUUGUUAAGUCAGGGGUGAAAUCCUGGAGCUCAACUCCAGAACUGCCUUUGAUACUGGCGAUCUUGAGUCCGGGAGAGGUGAGUGGAACUGCGAGUGUAGAGGUGAAAUUCGUAGAUAUUCGCAAGAACACCAGUGGCGAAGGCGGCUACCUGGACAGAAACUGACGCUGAGGCGCGAAAGCUAGGGGAGCAAACAGG
rnacentral:rRNA from 1 species